UCCGGGGUCUCCACCAAUCCGAAUUCUCGGAUUCUCGGACUCUCUGCAGACCCACAGGAUUCGGUCAUGGAGUCUCAGAUGCUCCUUCUGGUGCUCUUGGGGGCCCUGACCGAGACCUGGGCGGGUUUUUCCGUCUCAGGAGCCCCUCGCCCUCUUUCUACUCCCGGUCUCCUCACCCCGCACCCAGGGCUCCGCGCCGAAAGGAGGGAAGGGUCUCAACCUCUCCCCGCCCCCAGGCUCUCACUCCAUGAGGUAUUUCCACACGGUCGUGUCCCGGCCCGGCCACGGGGAGCCCCGGUACCUUGAGGUCGGCUAUGUGGACGACACGCAGUUCGUGCGGUUCGACAGCGAAGCUCAGAAUCCGAGGAUGGAGCCGCGGGCGCCGUGGGUGGAGCAGGAGGGGCAGGAGUAUUGGGAUGAGGAGACACAGCGCGCCAAGGAUCUUGUACAGAAUUUUCGAAGGAACCUGAUGAUCCUUCGGGGCUACUACAACCAGAGUGAGACCGGGUCUCAUACCUUCCAGUUGACCUAUGGUUGCGAGGAGGAGUCGCACGGAGGCCCCCUUCACGCGCACUGGCAGUACGCCUACGACGGCGAGGAUUACAUCACUUUGAACGAGGACCUGAGUUCCUGGACUGCAGCGGACAUGGCGGCUCGGGUCACACAGCGCAAGUGGGACAAGUCCCGUGCUCAUGAGCGCUUCAAGAGCUACCUGGAGGGCACGUGUGUGGAGUGGCUCAGAAGAUACCUGGAGAACGGGAGGGAGAUGCUGCAACGUGCAGACCCCCCAAAGGCAUAUGUGACCUGCCACCCCAGCUCUGACAAUAAAGUCACCCUGAGGUGCUGGGCCCUGGGCUUCUACCCUAAGGAGAUCUCCCUGACCUGGCGGCGGGAGGGGCAGGACCAGAGCCAGGACGUGGAGGUUGUGGAAACCAGGCCCUCAGGGGAUGGGACCUUCCAGAAGUGGGCGGCCCUGGUGGUGCCUCCUGGAGAGGAGCAGAGCUACACCUGCCAUGUGAAGCACGAGGGCCUGCAGGAGCCCCUCACCCUGAGAUGGGAACCGUCUCGGCUGUCCGCCAUCACCAUCGUAGGAAUCGUUGCUGGUCUGGUUCUCCUUGGAGCUGUGAUCACUGUGAUAUGGAAAAAAAGGUUCUCAGGUAGGAAAGGGGUGUGGUCUGAGAUUUCUUGUCCCACCGAGAGGAUUCUAGCCCCAGGUAGAAGCUGGCUCUGCCUCUUUCCUAGGAAAUGCCGUCCAUACACUUGCUUACCCAGUCUAGGGUCAGCGGUCAGUGCUAACAUUUACUCUUUAGUAAAGUACAUGAGAAAAUGAAGAACAAAAUUUUCACCCUGAUGAAUCUGCAGAUGGGGACCUGAUUCCCAACAUAGAGCAGAGAAGCUCCUGCCUGAGGGCAGACCUCCAGGAGGGCGGUAUUUCCAGCCUCUCCAUGUGUACUUUCCUCAUGUCUUCCGACCCUGUCCUGAAUCUGGUUUCGGUUCUUACAGGGAAACUUCCCUGGGAUCCAGGAGUAGGGGGUUCCUCUAGGAUCCCAUGGCCCGAUCUCUUCCCUGGCCUCUCACAGGGUGUUUUCUUCCCACAGGCAGAAAAAGAGGAAGCUACUCUCAGGCGCCAAGCAACAACAGCGUCGAGAACUCUGAUGUGUCUCCCGCAAGUCCUCAAGGCAUCUGAAUGCGUCUGUGUUCCCAUCAGCGCAAUGUGGGGAGAUGGAAGACUGGCUUCUCCACACUGAUCUUCGCCCCAUGUCCAAGCCACUUUCCUGUUCCAGCAGAGGCAGAGCUGAGACAUCUCAGCUUCUCGUAAUUUCACAUUCUACUGAGCUGCACUAUUUUCCAUAUUGGAAAUAAAAAUCCAAAUAUAAAUUUAUUUUUUCAAA